UACGGGGGGUGCGAGCGUUGUCCGGAAUCAUUGGGCGUAAAGGGCGCGUAGGUGGCUCUGUACGUUUGCGGUGAAAGCCGGGGGCUCAACCCCGGGUCUGCCGUGGAUACUGCAAGGCUUGAGUACUGUAGAGGCAGGUGGAAUAUCGGGUGUAGCGGUGGAAUGCUUAGAGAUCCGAUAGAAGACCGGUGGCGAAGGCGGCCUGCUGGGCAGUAACUGACACUGAGGCGCGACAGCGUGGGGAGCAAACAGG
rnacentral:rRNA from 1 species